rnacentral:misc_RNA from 1 species
GGGGAUUACAUGCAGAAAACAAUACCAUACUCUUUUGUAACAUGCGCUUAACCCACACAUUAUUUCAUAUGCAUUAUGCUCUUCCAUUUAGACCAAAUCUGAGGGGCCAAGCUAAGCUAGGGAUUGUACAUCAUUUGCCAUAUAAUAUUCAUUCAUCAAAAUACAGGAAUAAGAAGCAAGAUCUCCUUUACUCCAAAAUAACUUGUAUCCUGUCACCCAUUGUAUCCUGAAAAUCCAACAAUUGUUUCCCACCCUCUUCUAAAGUUGCCUCAUCCAACAGAGACUUGAUGUUUACACCUACCAAAGCUGGAACUAUGUUUGUGAUUCCUUCCAAAAAUCCAGCAGGAAUUCUGAUAUCUAGUUUUUCAAAUCCAUCUUUUCCAGUAAUCUUGACUCUCAAUUUCCGAGACCAGGCCAUUGAGAAAUUUCCUUUCUUACCCUCACCAGAAAAUCUGUCAUACACCUCAGGUAUCAAUACCUCAACAGGAUUCUCGGGUAUUUGAGUCCUCUGCACUCUAUCAGCUUGGAUGCCGGGUUGAACACCAUACUCAUUGCUGUUUGAUGAGAAAUCACCUUUACGAGAAGGAAGUUGACUGCUUGUUGUUGCAUAACGCUUCUCUUCUUCAUAGUAGGUAUUGAAACCUAGGAUCUCUUUUAGCUCUUCAAAUGAAGGCAUGCUACCCGGCGAUGGUAUCCGACCUCCUUUAAUGGCAGACAAUGCAUCCUGCAUUGCACCGAUUGAUACCCCAAUCAAGGAAAGUGGAUAUGCCACCAGUUUGUAUCCAAGUUCCUCAAGUUCAAUUGGAGUGAAUAUUGGUGUUUUACCACCACCUUCAAGCAUAUUUGCAAGCUUUCUGUGAUGUCUAUCCACUGGUUCCG